rnacentral:rRNA from 1 species
AGCGAACGCUGGCGGCAGGCCUAACACAUGCAAGUCGAACGAAGUCUUCGGACUUAGUGGCGGACGGGUGAGUAACACGUGGGAACGUGCCUUUAGGUUCGGAAUAACUCCGGGAAACUUGUGCUAAUACCUAAUGUGCCCUUCGGGGGAAAGAUUUAUCGCCUUUAGAGCGGCCCGCGUCUGAUUAGCUAGUUGGUGAGGUAGAGGCUCACCAAGGCGACGAUCAGUAGCUGGUCUGAGAGGAUGAUCAGCCACAUUGGGACUGAGACACGGCCCAAACUCCUACGGGAGGCAGCAGUGGGGAAUCUUGCGCAAUGGGCGAAAGCCUGACGCAGCCAUGCCGCGUGAGUGAUGAAGGUCUUAGGAUUGUAAAAUUCUUUCACCGGGGACGAUAAUGACGGUACCCGGAGAAGAAGCCCCGGCUAACUUCGUGCCAGCCGCCGCUGUAAAAC